rnacentral:tRNA from 1 species
GAUGGCAUAGCUCAAGCGGCAGAGCAGUAGUUUUAUACCCUACAGGUUGGGGGUUCGAGUCCUCCUGCCAUCA